CCCAAAAUAAAAGGGUCAUAGAUAAAAGUUGAAGAAAAAAUUUGAAAAUCGGGUUUAAAAUUUACGCUAGUCCCGUUUUUGUUUUUAAAGUUAAAAUUUCUUUUUUUUGCUUUGAUUUCACCGAUAGUUUUUCCCCUAA
rnacentral:ribozyme from 11 species